rnacentral:rRNA from 1 species
CCUACGGGAGGCAGCAGUGGGGAAUAUUGGACAAUGGGCGCAAGCCUGAUCCAGCCAUACCGCGUGGGUGAAGAAGGCCUUCGGGUUGUAAAGCCCUUUUGUUGGGAAAGAAAUCCAGCUGGCUAAUACCCGGUUGGGAUGACGGUACCCAAAGAAUAAGCACCGGCUAACUUCGUGCCAGCAGCCGCGGUAAUACGAAGGGUGCAAGCGUUACUCGGAAUUACUGGGCGUAAAGCGUGCGUAGGUGGUCGUUUAAGUCCGUUGUGAAAGCCCUGGGCUCAACCUGGGAACUGCAGUGGAUACUGGGCGACUAGAGUGUGGUAGAGGGUAGCGGAAUUCCUGGUGUAGCAGUGAAAUGCGUAGAGAUCAGGAGGAACAUCCAUGGCGAAGGCAGCUACCUGGACCAACACUGACACUGAGGCACGAAAGCGUGGGGAGCAAACAGGAUUAGAUACCCUGGUAGUCCACGCCCUAAACGAUGCGAACUGGAUGUUGGGUGCAAUUUGGCACGCAGUAUCGAAGCUAACGCGUUAAGUUCGCCGCCUGGGGAGUACGGUCGCAAGACUGAAACUCAAAUGAAUUGACGG